CACGUAGGGCGCAAGCGUUGUCCGGAAUUAUUGGGCGUAAAGAGCUCGUAGGCGGUCUGUUGCGUCUGCUGUGAAAACCCGGGGCUUAACCCCUGGCUUGCAGUGGAUACGGACAGACUAGAGGUAGGUAGGGGAGAAUGGAAUUCCCGGUGUAGCGGUGAAAUGCGCAGAUAUCGGGAGGAACACCGGUGGCGAAGGCGGUUCUCUGGGCCCUACCUGACGCUGAGGAGCGAAAGCGUGGGGAGCGAACAGG
rnacentral:rRNA from 1 species